CCCUAGCCCUGAUUGCAACGGAAAUCCUUUUCUUAAUCCUGUCUGGGUUUACCCAGACAGGAUUAAGAAAAGAUUGCAGUGUAAAGCGGGAAAUAGC
rnacentral:sRNA from 1 species